AACAGUUGAAGCGAAAAAAACAGUACCGGUUGGUCACCCUCAGAUUAUCCAUAGGAAUUUUGAUUCUAUUGAUAAUUAUUUUGGGUUUGUGAAAUGUACUGUGCUCCCCCCAAAAGGGUUGUUCCACCCAUCCUGCCCUACUGGUGUCAUGAUAAACUCAUGGUCCCUCUGUGUAGCAAGUGUGCUGAAGAUUUGAAUCAGAGAGAGAUGUAAAUGUCUACAUUUGUGUGAUGACCACAGCUUACGCGAGACUCGAGUUUUAUGGCUUGCUGGAUAAAUGCUGGAAUGCGUGUCGUCUUGUGACACUGACAGUGUUGUUUUUACAUCGCGGGCUCCCUGCCCUAGGUUCGUACCUUGGUGAUGUGACGGAUGAAAUAGGCAAUGAUGACGUGUGUGGCCUUCCUGAGGAAGAUUACAUUACAGAGUUUGUAUCGGGGGGGGUCCUAAGUGCUAUGCCUUGUGUUUCACACAACAUGGUGAAACACAGAUCACAGAUCGGGGUCCUAAGUGCUACGCCUUGUGUUUCACACAGUAUGGUGAAACACAGAUCAAAUACAAAGGUGUAACAUUAAAUGCUAAAAAUGCAGGCAUAAUCACUCAUGAGUCAUUGGUAGGUCUGGUUCAUGCCUUUGUGGCCAAUCAGAAUAGUGAUGCUCACAUGAUGACUGUGUCUGAAACCAUCAAAUGCGAUAAAAGGAAGUUUCAUCUGAAAAACGAGAUAGUUUUUAAGAAAGUCCAGGUCGUGUACAAUAAGCGCAGGGUGUUACCUGAUUAUACUACACUACCUUAUGGAUACUAGAACAGACCAGAGGUUUGACGGCCGUUUAGUCUGGUGGUGAACCGGACAUCAAAUUGUGGAAAGACGUUUUUUGUCAAACUUUAAAAAAAGAGAGACUAUCAACAAAAGAGGAGGAAGGUUUUUAUUACUCUUACUAGGUGCAGCUAUUCCUUUUAUAUAUAGUCUUUUAAAUCGGCGUUGAAAUGGAGCACACUCAAAACAUGUUUUUGGUCCCUUAGCAUCAGCUGGACUCAUUAAAGUAGCAGCAGCAGGAGCAAAACAAUGGUUCCAUAAGACAAACAGUGCAAAAUUAUUUGGAUAGAGCUAUGCUGAAACUACACUACACUAGACGUGUAUGAGAAGGCCAAAAAUAUGCAGGUAUUCUACAGAGAUACCUGUCACUGGUGAGACAGAGGGAGCGUGAAAAAGGUGUAUUGACUUUAUCACUAACCUCCAGUGAAAGUAGUGUUAUGAGUAGAUCGAACCUUGUUACACCCAACGCAGAUGACAGUGCUAAAAAGGACCUCAUUCCAGAAGAAGUUUUAAAACACAUUCCUAAAAGAAGUAAGAAAAAUGCAGAAUACAUUUUGGGAGCAUUGGUCAAAGCAAAAUAUAAUAUCUAAAAAAAUAUCUUGGACAGAUCAGGGAGAAAUUAUUGUUAACAAUCAACCGGUGAGAGAUUCACACUUGUAUUAUUUGGUAAAAAGUGUCACUGUAUCACAUAAUGUUUUAGACAGUUCUAGACCACAGGAGUGGGAAAUAUUUUUAAAAACUUUGGCUAGUUUAAACAUGCCGCUGUGGUUUAAUGACCCAUGACAAAUCAGAUGACAAAAAAAGAGAAAACAUUUCUUGAAUGGUUCACACAGGUUUAGUACCUCUUAGGACACCUGGAUCAAAGCGAUUUAAAUCACCUAGAUCGAACACUACUGCAUGGCUAGAUUUUUGAUUUCUUUUUUACUAUUCCUACGUAUUAUAGGUGUCACAGACACGCCAGGCUCAUCGCACCCCAUCACCAGAAUACUAAUCAGAAACACCUGUCACCAAGCACACACCUGGGACUCAUCUGCUCCACAUCACCCUAGUAUAAAAACACCGCAAUCACUUCAGUCAGUGUCCGGUCUUGUUUAUAUUAAGGACAGAACCCCGCAUCCUAUGAACUACGUCUCAGACUCCUACCCAACGACUACGAGUGUCUUCCUUCCUCCUGUGUCCCCGUGUCCUAACCUGCGUUCCUCUGAUCAACUGAGUGUUUUCCACUUCGGAUCUCCCCCGUGGCUAUUACCAUCAGUUUCAUGGUUUCUUCCUCUUCUAACUGUCGUGUGAUAAUAAAAUAUCUUGGUGUUCAUCUUGUUGUCUCCGGCCUGCUCUGUCCGUAACAGAAGACAGGACCUUACAAGAUUAAGAAUGAGUGCCACGGAUCCGAGCCAGGAGUUGGCAGAUCUCCUGCGCUGUGUCCUCGCCACUCUACCAUCGGCUACCACAUCACCCAUUACUUCCGCUUCCGCUCCGGUUACUCCGCCAUCUCCAACGUGCGCCAGUCCCAUGGCCAAACCUACGCCCUUCUCUGGCUCGGCGGAGGAUUGCAACGGCUUCAUCAUGCAAUGCUCGCUGGUCCUGGAGAUGCAGUCUUCCCUAUAUCCUCCAAAGUGGCCUUCGUGAUUUCCCAGCUCCAGGGGCGAGCCCUACAAUGGGCCGAGUCCAUCUGGACCCAGGGUGGACCCGUGACCCAAUCCCUGUCCAGCUUCCUAGCCCACUUCAGAGAGGUGUUCGGGAGACCAGAAGGUGAUACAUCCGUCAGCGAGCGUCUCUAUCAACUUAAACAAGGUCAACGCUCUAUCCAGGACUACGCCCUGGAAUUCCGGACCCUCGCAGCGGCUAGCGGCUGGAAUGAGCAGUCCCUCAUAACCACCUUCCGUCAGGGAUUGGAGCCAGGGAUAAGACUGCAUCUCGCCUCAUACAAAGACACCAUCGGCCUUGAGCGGUUUAUCCAGUUAGUCCCCAGAGUAGAUACCCGUAUGCAGGCGUGUUUGGCGGAACACCAGGACCAGCAGCCCUACACACCCUCUCUCCGCCAGCCAGAGAACUGCCGCUUUCCAGAACCAGAUCAAGAACCCAUGCAGCUGGAUUCCAGACUGUCUCCAGCGGAGCGGCAGAGACGGUUGACCCGGGGUUCAUGCCUUUACUGUGGAGCUGCUGGACACAACAUUUCCUCCUGCCCAGUAAGACCGCUCCGAACCAUGGUGAGUGCCAUUUCUCCACACCGGCCAUGGGACUGUGCCAUAGACCUCAUACCAGGUGAACCAGUGCCCCACGGGAAAAUAUAUCCACUAUCCCUUCCUGAACAGAAAGCCAUGGGGGAGUGCAUCAAGGAGGCCUUAGCCCAAGGUUAUAUUCGACCCUCUACAUCUCCAGCUGCUUCCAGUUUCUUCUUUGUGGCCAAAAAAGACGGAGGCUUGCAGCCCUGUGUGGAUUACCGAGGACUUAAUCGCAUCACCGUAAAGUUCCAGUAUCCACUUCCCCUCGUACCUGCAGCACUGGAACAACUACGCGGUGCCACUGUCUACACAAAGCUGGACCUCCGCAGCGCGUAUAACCUCAUCCGGAUACGAGAGGGGGAUGGAUGGAAAACAGCCUUCGUAACACCUACAGGCCACUAUGAGUAUUUGGUAAUGCCUUACGGCAUGGUAAACGCCCCCUCUGUGUUCCAGGACUUCAUACAUGAGGGGCUCCGGGAGUGCCUACACAAGUUCGUUAUCGUCUACAUCGACGACAUCUUGAUUUACUCCCGGAGCAUGGCCGAACAUCGCCAACAUGUCGCGGAGGUCCUGGAAUGCCUGAGAGACCAUCAGCUCUUCCUUAAAGCAGAAAAAUGUGUUCCAUCAGUCCUCAGUGCAGUUCCUCGGCUACAACAUCAGUAGCAGUGGCAUCCAGAUGGACGAGGGAAUGGUUGAAGCCAUCCGAAAUUGGCCUGCACCCACCACCAUCAAGGAACUACAGAGGUUCCUAGGAUUUGCUAACUUUUACUCUCGCUUCAUUCGAAAUUAUAGUACCAUCAUUCAACCCCUGACAGACCUUCUCCGUAACAAGCCCAAGUCUCUGUCCUGGCCACCCACCGCAUAAGGAGCCUUCGAUCGCCUCAAAGUCGCCUUCACCAGUGCACCACUCCUAGCUCAUCUGGACCCGGAACUACCAUUCAUGGUAGAAUAUCUCCAAAAUGCCAAAUGACUUAAUCCCCGCCAGGCCUGCUCGGCCCUAUUCUUCACACGGUUCAAUUUCAACAUCUCCUACCGCCCCGGUGCCAAGAACAUCAAGGCAGAUGCCCUAUCUCGCCUCUACUCUUCCAACGAAACCCUCGAAAAACCGGAACCCAUUCUUCCCCAACAUAUUUUUGUGAAUCCCAUCCAGUGGACAGAAACAUCCAUUCUCUCUGUCAAUGCCUCGAACAGCACUCCGCUGGGCUGUCCUCCAAACCAUCAAUAUGUCCCUAGAACCCAACGUAAUCUCCUAAUCCACACCUCCCACACCUCUCUGGGCACUGGUCACCCUGGGGCCAAUGAAACCCUCUUGCUGCUGCGAGAAUGCUUCUGGUGGCCUAACAUGGCUAGGGAAGUUAGAAGGUACAUACGAGGAUGUCAAGCUGUGUCCUCUACCCACACCAAAUAGACCCUGGUCACACCUAGGAGUCGACUUCAUCACCGAUUUGCCACCCUCUAACAGGAACACCUGCAUCCUAGUGGUCGUGGAUAGAUUCUCGAAGUCUGCCGACUUAUUCCACUCAGAGGACUACCCACGGCCAUGGAAACAGCAGAAAAUAUGUUCAACCACAUCUUCAGAUAUUUUGGCAUUCCAGAAGAUAUAGUGUCCGACAGAGGUCCCCAGUUCAUAUCCCGGGUAUGGAAGGCUUUCUUCUUGCUCCUAGGUGUGACCGUCAGCCUUUCCUCUGGACAUCACCUACAAACCAACGGUCAGACGGAAAGGAAGAUUCAGGAAAUUGUGUGCUUCCUACGUACCUUCUGCCAUGGUCUCCAGGACUCUUGGAGCUAGUUCCUGGGUUGGGCCGAGUACGCCCAGAAUUCCCUACGCCAACCCACCACUGGACUCACUCCCUUCCAGUGCGUGCUCGGUCACCAACCCCCGCUCUUCCCAUGGUCUGGAGAACCCUCGGAGGUUCCCGCGGUGGAUUACUGGUUCCGAGAGAGCAAGAGGGUCUGGGAGGCAGCGCACCACCAGCUGCAACGAGCACUCUGCAGGCGUAGGCUGACAGCUAAACAAAGACGAUCCCCUGCUCCAGAAUACCAACCUGGUCAGAAGGUCUGGCUGUCCACCCGAAACAUCAGGAUGCGCCUACCCUGCAGAAAGCUAAGUCCCAGAUUCAUUGGCCCCUUCACCAUCCUCGACCAGAUUAACCCGAGCCUGGCACUCCGACAGAACCCCCCUUGCCGCUGAUCAUGGAGGAUGGAACCGCCUACCAAAUCAACGAAAUCUUGGACUCCCGGCGCCGUGGUGGCAACCUGGAGUACCUGGUAGACUGGGAGGGGUAUGGUCCCGAGGAGAGAUCAUGGGUUCCCAGACACGACAUCCUCGACCCAUCACUACUAGAUACAUUCCACGCAAACCAUCCAGAUUGACCUGCCCCCCAUGGAAAAUGACGGCCACCACGACGCCGGGGUUCCCGGCCCUCAGGAGCGGGCCGUGGGGGGGGGGUGCUGUCACAGACACGCCAGGCUCCACAACCCCGCAAACACAACGCACCCCAUCACCAGAAUACUACUCAGAAACACCUGUCACCAAGCACACACCUGGGACUCAUCUGCUCCACAUCGCCCUCGUAUAAAAACACCGCAAUCACUUCAGUCAGUGUCCGGUCUCGUUUAUAUUAAGGACAGAAUCCCGCAUCCUAUGAACUACGUCUCGGACUCCUACCCAGCGACUACGAGUGUCUUCCUUCCUCCUGUGUCACCGUGUCCUAACCUGCGUUCCUCUGAUCAACUGAGUGUUUUCCACUUCGGAUCUCCCCCGUGGCUAUUACCAAGGACAGUAUCAGUUUCAUGGUUUCUUCCUCUUCUAACUGUCAGUUAACUUCGUGUGAUAAUAAAAUAUCUUGGUGUUCAUCUUGUUGUCUCCGGCCUGCUCUGUCCGUAACAAUAGCAAGAAUUCAUGUAUUUUUAUGAAGGCUAAAUGUGCCAGUGACAGAAUGAAUGUAUUUUUCUAUUGUAUUUUUAAAAAACACUGUAAAACUCUAAACUUGAAUAAAAAUGCAAGUAUUGAUAAAUCAUAUUCUCCAA